UACGUAGGGUGCAAGCGUUAAUCGGAAUUACUGGGCGUAAAGCGUGCGCAGGCGGUAAUGUAAGACAGGUGUGAAAUCCCCGGGCUUAACCUGGGAACUGCAUUUGUGACUGCAUUGCUGGAGUGCGGCAGAGGGGGAUGGAAUUCCGCGUGUAGCAGUGAAAUGCGUAGAUAUGCGGAGGAACACCGAUGGCGAAGGCAGCCCCCUGGGUCAAGAUUGACGCUCAUGCACGAAAGCGUGGGGAGCAAACAGG
rnacentral:rRNA from 1 species